CGGGUGAGUAACGCGUAAAGAACUUGCCUCAUAGUCUGGGACAACAUUUGGAAACGGAUGCUAAUACCGGAUAUUAUGCUUUCUUCGCAUGGAGGAAGUAUGAAAGCUAUAUGCGCUAUGAGAGAGCUUUGCGUCCCAUUAGCUAGUUGGUGAGGUAACGGCCCACCAAGGCGAUGAUGGGUAGCCGGCCUGAGAGGGUGAACGGCCACAAGGGACUGAGAUACGGCCCUUACUCCUACGGGAGGCAGCAGUC
rnacentral:rRNA from 1 species